UUACGACCAUAUCACGUUGAAACAUCGGCUCCCGUAUGAACAACAAAUUUAAGCAACGCUGAGACUGGUCAGUAUUUAGAUGGGUAACCGCUUGGGACUACCAGAUGCU